ACCAAACCAAAUAUUCUUACUCGUAUAUCCUCGGAAAUAUGGUCUGAGUGUCUCUAGCCGGUUCCCACCGAAAGAACUGGACUACGAGUUGAAGUAUUAGAUUG
rnacentral:ncRNA from 2 species